UCCAUUACAAAAGAUCCAGGGCCAUUUCGAUGCUACUUUUUAGGGUGGGUGAUCAUAUCAUCCUUGAAACGCGAGAAUGGGACAGACGAAAUCCAGGACCUCUUCUCGCCAAGAGUCUAUUGCUAGUUGUUGACACCUGAUUUUUGCCGACAAAUUACGCAAACAAAUAUAAAAAGAAAAGAGAGAGAUAGAAAUAUAAAAAUAAAUUAAAAAUUACAAUAACAAAGCUUUAACUCGGUCCCAUACUCUUCCGGCCCAUACCAAGGAUAUCCACUCUCAUACUUGCUCACCGUUUGAGGCUAGAUGUUCAAUAGCACUAAGGUACUCAGACGACACUCUCUAUCUGAUUUGGAGGCAAAUUUGAAAGGCCAAGAUAGUUUGUUAUUGGGGGCAAAGAGAUUCCGAGACCCUAUCGACAAGGGAGACCCUGAAGUACACACUCCCCAUUACAAACUGAUGCAGGGGCAUGAAGUGGCGUCCAACUCCUCACGAUGCGGUAUCCAAGUCAGCAAGUCAAGGCUGAUAUGUAUCCGGUUACUAAUAGCAGUUGGCAGUGGAAUUGCGAAACUCUUGUCUGUUAUGCUUUGUUGGCUGCAAACUUGCUUAGCGAGUCGUAUUAUUUAAUUGUCUAGUAAGUUGUAGCAUAGGAAGAUGUAGUCAAACUUUGCAAUUACAUAUAUAUACACCGAUUCUCAAUGAGAAGAAGAUGAGUGUUUAGAAUAAA